CUUUGGGCUAAAUGUAACUGAAAUGAUAAUUCAAAAUGGCUUAAGCAAUGAAGACAUUUAUUAUCUCCUUAACAGGGAAUCUAGAAUAGGGUAGGCUUCAGGGUUGGCUGAUGCAGCAGCUCUGCAGUUUUGUCAGAGCCAGGUUCCUUAGAUGACAUUUUCUACCAUCCACAGAGUUAGUGUCAUCCUAAGGUUGGUGUCAAUUAGGGCAAUGGUCGUCCUUCUUCUCAUCUAGUAAGACAGACGAAGAUACGAUGGGGUCUAAGUUCUUCUUGUCAGUUUCCUUGGCCAGGCUUGAUCAUAGGCCCACGCUGAACUGGUAAUUGUGGCAGUGGGAAAGACAUGCACUUCUUGGUUUAGAGUCCAGAGGUUUCCAUCUUACGCUGAGAAUGGGUUACACAUGUAGAGAUAUUGAUCCCUUCAGGCCUUAGGGCUGCCAUUUUUUCUUGCCCCAAAGCCACUGUCGCAUCUCGCCAGUCAUCUCCAAGCAGAGUGGCCUCUUCCUUUUAUCCUACAGGCUAUACAAGCACUGUUUUUUUUUUUUAAUUCGUCACAUCACAAAAAAAUCUAGAAGCAUUGGCUUAGGUGAUGGAUACAGUCCCUUUCCAGAAGCAUGGAGAUGUGUAGAACAGAAGUAUAUCUCUUACUAAUAUCAGGGUAAGAAGGAAGAAGGGGUCAUGGAUGAUGCAUACAAAACUUCCAUGCCCACAGGAUAUAAAUAAAAUCCAAAUCUGAUAAUCAUUUAUUAGACCUAUAAAAAUCAAGUCAAAAUUUCCUCAAAAGAUUGAAAAAUCCUUAAAAUGGUGAAGAAGAUUGCCAAGCCAAGAAAGGGCACUGAAUGAAUGUAAAGUCUUUCAAAGUGUGAUUGUUUUAGGUAAAGCAAUCUGAUGAAUUCUUCUGUUUUCAUAUUACAUACAAUAUGUUUAUGUUUCAGUAUCUCUCAUGUGCUUUCGUGAUUUUGAUAUCUUUAAUAGAGUAUUUAGAUAUUUUAUUGUUUAAGAGUAGAUGAUACUUAGAAAGCAUUCAUCCAUGUCAGGCAAGAACUGUAUUAAUUCAUUUAAUCUUCACUAUAGGCCCAUGAUGAUAUACAAUUUUUAAAUCCAUUUUGCAGAUGAGAAAAUUGAGAAAUAGAGAGGUUAAUUAAUUUGCCCAAUAAAACACAGCUAGUAAGCACCAGAACCUGUGACUGAACCCAGAAAAUUUAGUUUCCAAAUUGUUUUUAUUAUAAGUUGAUUCAGGAUGCUCUGGAAGACACAGUGGUCUAAUCCAGUGGGUACUAAAUGUUUGUCUAUGAGCUGCAAUAAAAAAAUAAAAUGUUUAUUAUAACUUAAUGCACACACACUAAAAAAUCUUAAAACAAUACUUACUAUGGAGGCAAGCAUUCUGCUAUUUCUGUUCCAUUCCAUUCUCUUCUUUGUUCUAUUCUUUUUUUUUUUUUUUUUGAGACAGAGUCUUGCUCUGUCACCCAGGCUGGCAUGCAGUGUCCUGAUCUCAGCUCACUGCAAGCUCCACCUCCCAGGUUCACACCAUUCUCCUGCCUCAGCCUCCCAAGCAGCUGGGACUACAGGCGCCCGUCACCACACCCGGCUUUUUUGUAUUUUUAGUAGAGAUGGGGUUUCACUGUGUUAGCCAGGAUGGUCUCGAUCUCCUGACCUCGUGAUCCACCUGCCUUGGCCUCCCAAAGUGCUGGGAUUACAGGCGUGAGCCACCACGUCUGGCCUGUUCUAUUCUUUAAAAAAUCAGCUGUGACCCACAAAAUUAAUUCUAGGACUAGUAAUGGGUCACGAUAAACAAUUUUUAAAGCCCUGGUAAUAUAAUAGGAUUGAAUACAGCAAUUACGGGGAUGACUUAGAUGCUCAAUGGUUGUUUUAGUCUGUUUGCGCUACUGUAACAAAAUGCCAUAAACUGAAUAGCUUAUAAAGAACAGAAAUUUUUUCUCACAGUUUUGAAGGCUAGGCAGUCCAAAAUGAAGGCACCAGCAGAUUCAGUGUCUGGUGAGGACCUGUUCCUGGUUCAUAGACAGCCCUCUUCUCUCUGUGUCCUCACAUGGUCAAAACGGAGAGGAGGCUCUCUGGAAUACCCUUUAUAAGAGCACUGAUCCCAUUAAUGGGGGCUUCACUCUCAUAACCUAAUCACCUCCCAAUGGCCCCACCUCCUGAUACCAUCACCUUAGGGGUUAAGAUUUCAACAUAUGAAUUAGGAGGGUUAGGGGAGAAACUUCAAACCAUAGCAGUGGUCAUUUUUGAGCCAGAGGUCUAGUUCAGGAAGAACACGGAGGUGGCAGGCUGAAGAUUAAAGGCAUAACUGGGUUCCAAAGGAAACUGAUCUCAAGGUUCCAAGAGAACUUUGAAGGGUUUUGAGUUGUGAGUAAUUAACUGGAUAUAAGAGCUGGGAGUCAGUAGCAAAUAGUGGAAAACCAAUCAAAGGUAUGUGGAUGAGACCACUGGGGAAGAAUGUGUGAAGUGGGAAGACAAGAGGCCCAGAACAGAACUGCAAGGAAUAGCAGUGUUUAUAAGAGGAGGUGAAGAAGUGCCUGCUGGAGAGGAAACUGUGGAACUGGAGUAGGAGGAGGCCACAGGGAAGCAUGGUGUCAACAGAAGCCAAGAAGGUUUGGAGAUGUAGCUGGUGUCAGCUACAGCAAAGUGAUCACAUAUCAGAGGUGCUGAAAAUAGUUUGUUGGAUCAGUAUUUAUGAUUCAAUAGCAUAUUAAUUUAUUCUCAUGCUGCUAAUAAAUACAUACCCAAGACUUGGUAAUUUAUAAAGAAAAAGAUUUUUAAUGGACUCAGUUCCACAUGGCUGGAAAGGACUCACAAUCAUGGUGGAAGGCGAAGGAGGAGCAAAGGCAUGUCUUAACAUGGUGGCAGGCAAGACAGUAUGUGCAGGGGAACUGCCCUUUAUAAAACCAUCAGAUCUCAUGAGACUUUUUCCCUAUUACAAGAACAGUACAAACAGACAAAAAUUCCAUGCUCACAGAUAGGAAGAAUCACUAUUGUGAAAAUGACCAUACUGCCCAAAGUAAUUUAUAGAUUCAAUGCUAUUCCCAUCAAGCUACCAUUGACUUUCUUCACAGAAUUAGAAAAAACUACUUUAAAUUUCAUAUGAAACCAAAAAAGAGCCAUAUAGCCAAGACAAUCCUAAGUAAAAAGAAUAAAGCUGGAGACAUCAUACUACCUGACUUCAAACUAUACUGCAAGGCUACAGUAACCAAAACAGCAUGGUACUGGUACCCAAAGAGAUAUAUAGACCAAUGGAACAGAACAGAGGCCUCAGAAAUAACACCACACACCUACAACUGUCUGAUCUUUGACAAACCUGACAAAAACAAGAAAUGGGGAAAGGAUUCCCUAUUUAAUAAAUGGUGCUGGGAAAACUGGCUAGCCAUAUGCAGAAAACAAACUGGACCCCUUCCUUAAACUGUAUACAAAAAUUAACUCAAGAUGGAUUAAAGACUUAAACAUAAAACCUAAAAUCAUAAAAACCCUAGAAGAAAACCUAGACAAUACCAUUCAGGACAUAGGCAUGGGCAAAUACUUCAUGACUAAAACACGAAAAGCAAUGGUGACAAAAGCCAAAAUUGACAAAUGGGAUCUAAUUAAACUAAAAAGCUUCUGCACAGCAAAAGAAACUAUCAUCAGAGUGAACAGGCAGCCUACAGAAUGGGAGGAAAUUUUUGCAAUCUAUCCAUCUAACAAAGAUCUAAUAUCCAGAAUCUACAAGGAACUUAAACAAAUUUAUAAGAAAAAAAAUAACCCCAUAAAAAAGUGGGCAAAGGAUGUGAACAGACACUUCCCAAGAGAAGACAUUUAUAUGAUCAACAAACAUAUGAAAAAAAGCUCAUCAUCAGUGGUCAUUAGAGAAAUGCAAAUCAAAACCACAAUGAGAUACCAUCUCAUGCCAGUGAGAUGACAUUGAGGGUCUUAAUUGACCACAAAACUCAAUAUGGAUGAAAAUAUGAAGUAGCUACCAGAAAAUUGAAUGCCAUUUUAGACUGCAUUAAUAAAAAAUUGUGUCUGGAGAAGGUUUUGGAGUAUUGCACCUACAAACCAUCUAUAAACAAUUAUAAAACAAUGAAGGCCAUGUGCUCAAACUAGUCAAAAACUAAAAUAGAAAGAAAAAUAGGAUAGAGAAGGAGAUGGCCUUUGAAAUGGGCCUUGAAAUAUUCGUAGAAUUUUGAUAGGUAGAGAUGGCAGUCAGACAUUCCAAACUGACUUAAUGUGUUUUUGUUUUUGUUUUAAUUUUAGAGACAGGGUCUCACUCUGUCACCCACACUGGAGAGCAGUGGUACAAUUAUGGCUUAUUGCAGCCUCAAACUCCUGGGCUCAACAGAUCCUCCUGCUUUAGCCUCCCAAGUAGCUAGGGCUACAGGCACAAGCCAUCAUGCCCUGAGGGUCAGCUGCAGCCCUGUUUUAGAAAUAGUUUGGAAUCAGGGGCUAGAACAGCAGCCAGGAUUCUGGCUUUCUCUCUCACCUCACUGUUGUCUUCAUGCCUGCUUCAUUCAUCUCUUUUUGCAGAUUGGCAUCCUCUGCUUCUGCAGAAAACAUGGCUACCAACAGCUUCUGUAUCCACCUGCGGAGGAGACUGACUGCUCUGUUAUUCCCCCAGCAUCUGUGAAGAGGCUCUGACUGGCUAAAGUGUUGGUAUAGUGAUCACCCCAGGGUUAGGCAACCAUGGCUGGUGAAAAGGAAAAACGUUAUGAACCUGGCUGUGCGGAGCUACCUGAGGAAGCUUGUAGGAGAAGGGUCAGUUUGCAGAGAAAGGGGGGCCUGGGCAGAUGACGCAAGAGGUGCCCAUUACAUCCCUCUAGAGGUGAGCUGUCUAAAAUGGUAGGCACUGGCCACCUGUACUUAUUUAAUUGUAAAUGUAAAUUUCUUAAAAUUUCCUUAGACACAUUAGCCUCAUCUCGAGUGCUCAAUAGCCACAUGUUGCCAGUGGCUACUGUAUUGAGCAGUAAAGAUAUAGGACAUUUCCCUCAUUGCAGACAUAGUGGACACCUCUCCUCUAGAGUUAUCUGUGGUUCUACCAGCAAAAGCCCAGGUGUUCCAGCUAGAGAAACAGCAAAUUUCUCUGGGACAUGAACAACUAGAAAACAUCUCACCUUGUCCUCCAAUAACUUGGAAAGAAUUUUUUUUGGUUGGAGACCCCAGAACUGGUUCUUGCUUUUGUUUGUUUGUUUGUUUGUUUUGUUUUGUUUUUGAGACAGUGUCUUGCUCUGUCACCCAGGCUGGAGUGCAGUGGCGUGAUCUAGGCUCACUGCAACCUCCGCCUCCUGGAUUCAAGGGAUUCUCGUACCUCAGCCUCCUGAGUAGCUAGGACUACAGGUACACACCGCCACGCCCAGCUAAUUUUUGUGUUUUUAGUAGGGAUGGGGUUUUGCCAUGUUGGCCAGGCUGGUCUCGAACUCCUGCCCUCAGGUGAUCCACCCACCUCAGGCUCCCAAAGUGCUGGGAUUACAGGCGUGAGUCACCAUGCUUGGCCUGGUUCUUGAUUAUAUCCGAUUUGAGCACUGAGCAAAGCCUCCUAAUCUCAUCAUGCCUGAAUUCUUAGACUACCUUACCCCCAAAUUUCAAAGAUAAUUAAUUCAGUCAUCCAUCUCAUCUUUGUUACGCCAGGAUACCAGACAAAUGCAAUUCCUUUUAGUUAACUGUCUUGUCCAGUUCCCGUAAUGUUCCGUUUCUUCUGCUGGUUUCCUUCUUAGUCUUGUCCAUUAUGCCUUAUCAAAACUUUACAUGGCAGAGAUGGCUAGCUGUCCCCUAAAAUUCAGCAUCCCCUUUCACAGUGUAGAGAUGUCAGUUGAAUUUGGCUGCCCAGCCAGGAACCGCAUCUUCCAGCCCUUCCUGCAUCCAGAUUAUGCCAUGUGACUAGUUUUCAUCAAUGAAAUGAGAAAGAGAUUUAUGUCACCUCCCAGAUGGGGUUUUUUAAAAGCAUGAUUGUUUUCUCUACUCUCUUCCCCUAUCUGAAUAGGAAGGAGUCUGUAGCUUUAGGGGAAGACAGAGCCACAAGAUGGAAGGAGCUUGGAUGUCUGAACUAUUCCAUGGAGAAAAGCUGCAGCCAACGAAGAACACCUGCAAUGGACUCUUAACCUGGGGGUGACGACAACCACUGAAAUGUGAGGGCUUAUUCGUUAGCAUUUGUCUAGCAUUACCCUAACUGAUAUCUAAUUAAUUUCCUUACAUCCUCAAACUUCUUGCCUUAAAUUUAAUCUCCUGCCUGUCCCCCAGGAGUUCAGUUCCCCUCAAGCUUCUGGAAGAGAGGCUGCUCAUUCUUCCACAACAGCCUAGACACCAUGGAGGCUGAGAGAUGGUACUGGCAUUUUCUUUUUUUUUUUUGAGAUGGUGUCUUGCUCUGUCGCCCAUGCUGGAGUGCAGUGGCACGAUCUUGGCUCACUGCAACUUCAGCCUCCCAGGCUCAAGCGAUUCUCUUGCCUCAGCCUCCCAAGUAGCUGGGAUUACAGGUGUGUGCCACAGCUGGCUAAUUUUUGUAUUUGUAGUAGAGAUGGGGUUUCACCAUGUUGGCCAGGCUGGUCUCUAACUGCUGACGUCAGGCAAUCCAUCCAUCUUGGCCUCCCAAACUACUGGGUGUGAGCCACUGCGCCUGGCUGUUAUUGGCAUUUUCUUAACUCCUAGUUGCAUUGUUCAGACCACUUCACAUGUGAAAUUAAUGCCAUCCAACUUUUUUUCCUAGUUGGUGUUCCACACACAGAUUGGCAUUGACAUUGUUAUAGAGCCUGCCUAUGCUCAGGGAGAGAAUUUGAGGAUGAAAGGGAAUAUUGGCAUCAGUGUCUAUGGCAACCUAAAGAAAUGUAUAUGAAUUUGCGUAUACAUCAAGCUCUCUAAUUACCAUGAGGAAAAACAUGAAUUCUUUCCCAGUCUGGUCCCUCUUAUUAGUCUCACUUUUCUUUCCCCCAUCCACCAACUGCAUCAUCUGUCCCAUUUCCAUGGGGUGUGUGGGCAGCUGAGGGAGAUCCAGCAUAAGACAUCAGUGCUGAAAACCCUAGCCUGGAAACACCAAAGGCCAAAUGAGACUCCAUCACAGAAUUUCUAACACAUAUAUCCAAGGUGCAAUGACCCAGUUUGUCAAACCUUUAGAUUAUGUGAUAAUUUACUGAUGAUUCACUUUAGAGAUUUGAAAAUAAAAGUACUUUUAUAUUUUUGUUUUUCUGAAAAUGGUCCCAAAGUUCAAUGAUUUUCUUGCAUAUCUCAAAUAUUACAAUGGGGUGAUUUAAGGCCAGCACAUUUUUGCAGGCUAUCUGAAAAGAACUUACUUUUCCAUAAAGCCCUCUAAGUUUCUUUGCCCUUAUUAGAUUUAUAGCUGAUUCUUUCAAAGCUGACUGUGACCUUGACCUGCAGACAAAAAUAGCAAAAUAUAAAUUUUGUGGAAGGCAGUAGCACUGUCUUUCUUGGAUAAAGUCUGCAUCUCCUACCAAGAAAAAAUCUAAGAGGUAUUGCCAAGCUAAUGCACAUGGUUAAAGUAACUGCCCCAUUGCCCCUUUUCUUUCUUUCUUUUAAUUUUUUUGUUCUAGGUUUACUGCACUUGCCUCUAGCAGUUAUGGAAUUCUAUGCCACUCAAAUCCUCUAUCUGUUGCAAAAAUGUGCAUCCCAAGAUGGUGCUCUUGAGCUGUGGUGCAGUAUCUUCAGACAGACACUGUGGGUCCCACAAUGAAGCAAUGGAGAAAAAAGACACCACUAAAGAACCACCAGGGUGCAGCAUUCCUGAGUGGCAGAAGCCAUGCAGGAAAUGGCAGUAUGUACAGCUGGCACUUUGAAGAACAAUGAAUUCCUUCAAGGCUCUGUGCAGACAUUUCAAACAGUGGAUACCAGACAGGCUUGGCAUAGCUUAGACUCAAUUAUAGCUAGAAUUAUUUUAUUUCUGGGUAGGUAACUGAGAGAAGCAGGAAUUGUGCAUGUAUCUCCAUAUGGUUUUAUUUUUAAAGAAUGAAAUAGCAACAAAUAUAAACAACUGCUGUAACAGCAAAGAGCAUAAUUUCUUCUAAAAUGAGGAUUAUAUUUAGAACACUCCAAAUGGGGACACACUGUCUGACAAGAAGUCAGAAUAUCGGAAAAUGGAAGUGUCUUACUUAAUUAAAUAACCCUGAAGUAAUUUAAUAUCAUGAGUAGGUGAGACUUUUAAAAAGGGUUAAACAAAGGCAUAUCCCUAAGUAGAAAUAUGUAGCCCUAUCACCUGCAAAAUUGUCAUAAAUCUUUGUGUUUUAUUUUCACAGAUGCUGCAUCUUAGUCCAGGGAUUUUUAAAGUGUGGUUCCUGGAAGAGCUGGAUCAGAGUCAUCUGUGUUGAUGGUUUAACAUAAAGAUUUUCGAGCCCCAAGACUCAAGUAGGACAAGGAAUUUGAAUUUUUAAGCAGCUCACCUGACUUGUCUGUCCUCUAAUGUCUGAAGACAUCUGACCUCUGCUCUUUCAGUAAAAGCAACAAUGGUUUUAUGAGCAUUGUCGUCACAUCUCUCCACUCAAGGGAUCCUUCUCAUUUCUCCCAGCUGAGGUCACCCACAGCUGCUGCUUCUAACUGCUGGCUUCCAGCCUGCUGUCUGCCAGCUGGCUCUACCCUCUCCUAUAACACGGCAGAGAGUAGCUGUGGUCUCCUGCGUGCUCACCCUCUGCUCCCUUGGUCCUGCUCCAUGCUUUGGUCCUGCACUUAAAUUUUACAAGCAUACUCUCUUUCUCUUAAGAUGAAGGAGCUGAGGCUGGAGAAGUUAAGAGACCCCUGCUAGAUAGGAAGGCACGUGAGAAGUAUACUGCUCUGUCUCCUGUGGAGUAAAAAGACUUUGGCGUUCUCAGAAGAAAACCAAAUGAGAUCACACGAAUGAGACUGCUGGCUGAAAUCUUUCAGAGACAAGGUUCAAGAGAGCAAGCAAAACAUUGCACGACAAUGAACAGAUCAAGGUAGCCACUCCCAGUCAAGGACUGUAUGAGUUGCCCAGAGCAAGACCUUUUAGGAUAUGGUACAUAGCUGGGAGCCUGCCAACUCCUGAUUUUGUCAUUACCCUCAGAACUCCAGAAUGUAAGCUCCAUGAAGAGGAUGCACCUCCAACAAAACAAUUCUUACAUGGAAUCCUAGAGUCUUUGGAACGUGGUUUGAACACCACCAGCUUUGAGAAGGAAGAGAAAAUCCAGAAGUCAGAAGUGGACCAUGUUGAUCAGGAUCCUACACCUUCCAGUUCACUGGUGAAUAACUUCAUAUUCCUGAAGUUAAGAAGCCUGCCCUGAUGCUCAUGCAGUUACUUUGAGCAAUGACCAAACAGAGAGAGGAAGAAAGAAGUGUUGAAGAAGAGAGAGACAGAAGAAAAUCACCAUAAAAAGUCAGACACGAGAGCUUAGAAGUCAAUUAAGACAGGGCUUGGAAGGGGCAUUAGGUUUUUGGGGAACCGGUGUUACAUGAAAAAAAAAAACACCUCUGUUUGCAUCUGUAGACAAAGAUCUGUUCAGAAUGGUUGGCUUUGUGAGGUGCUGUGAGACAGAGAUGAAAAAGACAAUCUUCCAAGCCUUAGGAAAAAAAUAUUAACCAACCAUCUCUAGGAAAUUGCAAAAUAGUUUCUACUUUAUCAGGAUUUCCAAUUCCAGGUGAAUAGGAUAAAGAUGAUGGUCUUUGGAGGCAAAAAAAGUGUUACUGGGAAAGAAGUGAUAACCAGACACAUUCACAUCAUUAUGCACCAUCUCUGUUCUGAUAGAGAAGCCAAAAGCACAGGGCCAAUCCUUUGCUUAAGUUAUGAGCAUGACAUCUCCACUGAGCUCCAGACUUGUAUAUCCAACUGCCUACUCUCACCUCUACUUAGAUGUCUAAUAAACAUCUUGAUUUCAAUACAUUCCUGAUGGUUAACAUUAGGUAUCAACUUGACUGGAUUGAGGAAUGCCUAAAAGGCUGGUGAAUCAUUGUUCCUGGGUAUGUCUGUGAGGAUGUUUCGAGAGGAAAUUGACAUUUGAGUCAGCGGACUGAGAGAAGGAAGAUCCACCCUCAAUGUGUGUGGGCACCAUCCAAUCAGCUGCCAGCACAGCUAGAACAAAAGAG
rnacentral:lncRNA from 1 species